UUGAAAGGGAAACGAUUGAAGUCAGUCGUACCAGCGGGAAAUCAACCUUUCGAGUGGGGGUUUUGGAGUUUUGAAGAGUGUCAAAACCUUUGAGAUUUCAAAAUUUUCGCUCUUUUGGUGUACUUUCUCGUGGGUAGGUUAACAUCGAUUUUGAUCAUCAUAAAAAGAUUGGAGGAAUGUAGCUUCGAUCUUGUAUUGAGGUGUUAUAGCCUUUGGUAAAUGUGAUGAUUAGGAUCGAGGAUUGCAACGAAUACCCUUUUGGGCUAUCCGCCUGAUCUCUGAUACGUGGCCUUGGUAUCGAAAGCGUGCUUAUGGUAUUGAGGUAUUACGGUCAAAAGGUUAGAACGGAUUACAUUCGUUAAGGAUGUUGACGUA
rnacentral:rRNA from 1 species